rnacentral:rRNA from 1 species
UACGUAGGGUGCGAGCGUUGUCCGGAAUUAUUGGGCGUAAAGGGCUCGUAGGCGGUCUGUCGCGUCGGGAGUGAAAACUCAGGGCUUAACCCUGAGCCUGCUUCCGAUACGGGCAGACUAGAGGUAUGCAGGGGAGAACGGAAUUCCUGGUGUAGCGGUGAAAUGCGUAGAUAUCUGGAGGAACACCGGUGGCGAAGGCGGCAUUCUGGACCGAUAUUGACGCUGAGGAGCGAAAGCCAGGGGAGCAAACGGG